rnacentral:lncRNA from 1 species
AUGGCUGGGGUUCUGGUGCUGUGUCUUCCUCAGGCAUUUGGCUUCCAGUCUGCUUCAGAUCCAGUCAACCCCCACAAGCACUUCUGGGCAUCUCCAGCAGGUGGCUCAGCUACGCUUCAUAACACCUCUCUUCUGACUGAUUGCAAAGGCAAGUCGAGAGUACAGAAAAUACCAGCACCUACAAGCCAGCCAGCCAAAACAACAGCAUAGCCGGGAACAGAAUUUGAGUCUUCUUGGACAAUAUAUACUCAAGGAAAACAUUCUUUGUGCUUCAGUUGUCUAACUUGGCUCUUCUUAUUCCACCUAAAAUAUAUUAAAUUUUGACCUUCCAAAUCAUUGUGGUUCUUUGUACCAAUGGGAUUGCUUUUUAUUACCAAAUCGAAGGAGGGGGGCAAUGAACACUGUCUCCAUGAUGAGAAGUUGUGUGUUGCUUAAUAUUUAGACAUGGCUUUGGAGAUUUUAUCCCAUCCAAACAGUUCUG